rnacentral:misc_RNA from 2 species
AACGCACAUUGCGCCCUCUGGCAUUCCGGGGGGCAUGCCCGUUCGAGCGUCAUUAAAACCCAUCAAGCCUGGCUUGGUAUUGGGCGACGGGACCUCCCCGCGCCCCGAUUUCGCCGGCUGGACGAACCCCGAUCUCAAGCGCUGUAAUGAGCAUUCGCUGGAGGGACGGGCGGCCACGCCGUUAACCUUAAUCAAUUCAAGUUGACCUCGGAUCGGGUAGGAAUACCCGCUGAACUUAA